GACAGCGAUACACCGUCAACACAUCCGAUCUCAUCUAAUCUAGGAAGCUAACCAGGGUCAGGCCUGGUUAGUACUCAGAUGGAGGACCGCACGGGAAUACAGGGUGCCUUAGGCU
rnacentral:rRNA from 1 species